rnacentral:rRNA from 1 species
GAUGAACGCUGGCGGCGUGCCUAAUACAUGCAAGUCGAGCGAACGGACGAGAAGCUUGCUUUUCUGAUGUUAGCGGCGGACGGGUGAGUAACACGUGGAUAACCUACCUAUAAGACUGGGAUAAAUUCGGGAAACCGGAGCUAAUACCGGAUAAUAUUUUGAACCGCAUGGUUCAAAAGUGAAAGACGGUCUUGCUGUCACUUAUAGAUGGAUCCGCGCUGCAUUAGCUAGUUGGUAAGGUAACGGCUUACCAAGGCAACGAUGCAUAGCCGACCUGAGAGGGUGAUCGGCCACACUGGAACUGAGACACGGUCCAGACUCCUGCGGGAGGCAGCAGUAGGGAAUCUUCCGCAAUGGGCGAAAGCCUGACGGAGCAACGCCGCGUGAAUGAUGAAAGUCUUCGGAUCGUAAAGCUCUGUUAGUAGGGAAGAACAUAUGUGUAAGUAACUGUGCACAUCUUGACGGUACCUAAUCAGAAAGCCACGGCUAACUACGUG